UACGAACUGUGCGAACGUUAUUCGGAAUCACUGGGCUUAAAGGGUGCGUAGGCGGUUUUCUAAGUCACGUGUGAAAUCUUCCGGCUCAACCGGAAAACUGCGCGUGAUACUGGAUAACUUGAGUGAGGUAGGGGUGUGUGGAACUUCCGGUGGAGCGGUGAAAUGUGUAGAGAUCGGAAGGAACGCCAGCAGCGAAAGCGGCACACUGGGCCUUAUCUGACGCUGAGGCACGAAAGCUAGGGGAGUGAACGGG
rnacentral:rRNA from 1 species